AGAGUUUGAUCCUGGCUCAGGACGAACGCUGGCGGCGUGCCUAAUACAUGCAAGUCGUGCGGACCUUUUAAAAGCUUGCUUUUAAAAGGUUAGCGGCGGACGGGUGAGUAACACGUGGGCAACCUGCCUGUAAGACUGGGAUAACGCCGGGAAACCGGGGCUAAUACCAGAUAGUUUUUUUCUCCGCAUGGAGGAAAAAGGAAAGGCGGCUUCGGCUGCCACUUACAGAUGGGCCCGCGGCGCAUUAGCUAGUUGGCGGGGUAAUGGCCCACCAAGGCAACGAUGCGUAGCCGACCUGAGAGGGUGAUCGGCCACAUUGGGACUGAGACACGGCCCAAACUCCUACGGGAGGCAGCAGUAGGGAAUCUUCCGCAAUGGACGAAAGUCUGACGGAGCAACGCCGCGUGAGUGAAGAAGGCCUUCGGGUCGUAAAACUCUGUUGCCGGGGAAGAACAAGUGCCGUUCGAACAGGGCGGCGCCUUGACGGUACCCGCCAGAAG
rnacentral:rRNA from 1 species